GACGAACGCUGGCGGCGUGCUUAACACAUGCAAGUCGACGUGCGUGGCGAACGGGAGAGUAAUAGGUGGGUACCCUGACCUCCUUGUUGGGAUAAGCCAUGGAAACGGGGUCUAAUAACGAUCUUAGGGGGAUGGGCGCGUGGCCUUUCAGCUUGUUGGUGGGGUGAUGGCCUAACAAGGCGGUGACGGGUAGCCGGGCUGAGCAGGUGACCGGCCACAGUGAGACUGGGAUACGGCCCAGAGUCCUACGCGGGGCAGCAGUGGGCGAUAUUGCACAAUGGGCGAUAGCCUGAUGCAGCGACGCCGCGUGGGGGAUGAAGGCUUUCGGGUUGUAAACCUCUUUCGCUAUCGAACGGGUAGGUGGAGAAGAAGCGCCGGCUAACUACGUGCCAGCAGCCGCGGUAAUUC
rnacentral:rRNA from 1 species